rnacentral:rRNA from 1 species
ACGAACGCUGGCGGCGUGCUUAACACAUGCAAGUCGCACGGAAAGGCCCUGCUUUUGUGGGGUGCUCGAGUGGCGAACGGGUGAGUAACACGUGAGUAACCUGCCCUUGACUUUGGGAUAACUUCAGGAAACUGGGGCUAAUACCGGAUAGGAGCUCCUGCUGCAUGGUGGGGGUUGGAAGUUUCCGGCGGUUGGGGAUGGACUCGCGGCUUAUCAGCUUGUUGGUGGGGUAGUGGCUUACCAAGGCUUUGACGGGUAGCCGGCCUGAGAGGGUGACCGGCCACAUUGGGACUGAGAUACGGCCCAGACUCCUACGGGAGGCAGCAGUGGGGAAUAUUGCACAAUGGGCGGAAGCCUGAUGCAGCAACGCCGCGUGCGGGAUGACGGCCUUCGGGUUGUAAACCGCUUUCGCCUGUGACGAAGCGUGAGUGACGGUAAUGGGUAAAGAAGCACCGGCUAACUACGUG